rnacentral:rRNA from 1 species
GGUCAAGCGAAUAAGCGCACACGGUGGAUGCCUUGGCGGUCAGAGGCGAUGAAGGACGUGGCAGCCUGCGAAAAGUAUCGGGGAGCUGGCAACAAGCUUUGAUCCGGUAAUGUCCGAAUGGGGAAACCCACCCGCUUGCGGGUAUCCUGCAGUGAAUACAUAGCUGCUGGAAGCGAACCUGGUGAACUGAAAUAUCUAAGUAACCAGAGGAAAAGAAAUCAACCGAGAUUCCGUAAGUAGCGACGAGCGAACGCGGACUAGCCCUUAAGCUGGAUUGGUUCUAGGAAAACGCUCUGGAAAGAGCGGCCAUAGAAGGUGAUAGCCCUGUAUCUGAAAGGGCCAUUCCAGUGAAGACGAGUAGGGCGGGGCACGUGAAACCCUGUCUGAACAUGGGGGGACCAUCCUCCAAGGCUAAAUACUACUGACCGACCGAUAGUGAACCAGUACCGUGAGGGAAAGGCGAAAAGAACCCCGGAGAGGGGAGUGAAAUAGAACCUGAAACCGUGUGCGUACAAGCAGUAGGAGCUCCGCAAGGAGUGACUGCGUACCUUUUGUAUAAUGGGUCAGCGACUUACUGUUCGUGGCAAGCUUAACCGUAUAGGGGAGGCGAAGGGAAACCGAGUCUGAUAAGGGCGCAUAGUCGCGGGCAGUAGACCCGAAACCGGGUGAUCUAGUCAUGCCCAGGGUGAAGGUGCGGUAACACGCACUGGAGGCCCGAACCCACUCCCGUUGCAAAGGUAGGGGAUGAGGUGUGAUUAGGAGUGAAAAGCUAAUCGAACCCGGAGAUAGCUGGUUCUCCUCGAAAGCUAUUUAGGUAGCGCCUCAUAUGUAUCCUCUCGGGGGUAGAGCACUGUUAUGGCUAGGGGGUCAUCGCGACUUACCAAACCAUUGCAAACUCCGAAUACCGAGACGGACUGUAUGGGAGACACACGGCGGGUGCUAACGUCCGUCGUGAAAAGGGAAACAACCCAGACCCACAGCUAAGGUCCCAAAUUCACUGCUAAGUGGAAAACCAUGUGGAAAGGCACAGACAGCCAGGAGGUUGGCUUAGAAGCAGCCACCCUUUAAAGAAAGCGUAAUAGCUCACUGGUCGAGUCGGUCUGCGGGGAAGAUUUAACGGGGCUAAGCAGUGAACCGAAGCUUGGGGUGCAUAACUUUGUUAUGCGCGGUAGAGGAGCGUUCCGUAAGCCGUUGAAGGUGGAUUGAGAAGUCUGCUGGAGGUAUCGGAAGUGCGAAUGCUGACAUGAGUAACGAUAAUGCGGGUGAAAAACCCGCACGCCGAAAGCCCAAGGUUUCCUUGCGCAACGUUAAUCGGCGCAGGGUGAGUCGGCCCCUAAGGCGAGGACGAAAGUCGUAGUCGAUGGGAAGCAGGUUAAUAUUCCUGCACCUCGCGUAAGUGCGAUGGAGGGACGGAGAAGGUUAGGUGUACCAGGCGUUGGUUGUCCUGGGGAAAGGCGGUAGGUUUGGAUCUUUGGCAAAUCCGGGAUCCUUUAAGACCGAGCACCGAGACGAGCCUUUAUGGCGAAGUCACUGAUACCACGCUUCCAGGAAAAGCUCCUAAGCUUCAGCUUACGCAGACCGUACCGUAAACCGACACAGGUGGGUAGGAUGAGAAUUCUCAGGCGCUUGAGAGAACUCGGGUGAAGGAACUAGGCAACAUGGCACCGUAACUUCGGGAGAAGGUGCACCCUUUUUGGUGGCUCGUGCGAGCUAUAGCUGAAGAGGGUCGCAGUAACCAGGCCGCUGCGACUGUUUAUCAAAAACACAGCACUCUGCAAACACGAAAGUGGACGUAUAGGGUGUGACGCCUGCCCGGUGCUGGAAGGUUAAUUGAUGGGGUCAGCCGCAAGGCGAAGCUCUUGAUCGAAGCCCCAGUAAACGGCGGCCGUAACUAUAACGGUCCUAAGGUAGCGAAAUUCCUUGUCGGGUAAGUUCCGACCUGCACGAAUGGCGUAACGACAGCGGCGCUGUCUCCACCCGAGACUCAGUGAAAUUGAAAUCGCUGUGAAGAUGCAGCGUUCCCGUGGCAAGACGGAAAGACCCCGUGAACCUUUACUAUAGCUUUACACUGAACGUUGAGUUCGUCUGUGUAGGAUAGGUGGGAGGCUAUGAAACUGUGGCGCUAGCUGCAGCGGAGCCAUCCUUGAAAUACCACCCUGUCGUGCUUGACGUUCUAACCUGGGCCCAUUAUCUGGGUCGGGGACCGUGUAUGGUGGGUAGUUUGACUGGGGCGGUCUCCUCCUAAAGAGUAACGGAGGAGCUCGAAGGUACGCUCAGCGCGGUCGGACAUCGCGCACUGUGUGCAAAGGCAUAAGCGUGCUUGACUGCAAGAUCGACGGAUCAAGCAGGUAGGAAACUAGGACUUAGUGAUCCGGUGGUUCUGUAUGGAAGGGCCAUCGCUCAACGGAUAAAAGGUACUCCGGGGAUAACAGGCUGAUACCGCCCAAGAGUUCAUAUCGACGGCGGUGUUUGGCACCUCGAUGUCGGCUCAUCACAUCCUGGGGCUGUAGUCGGUCCCAAGGGUAUGGCUGUUCGCCAUUUAAAGUGGUACGCGAGCUGGGUUCAGAACGUCGUGAGACAGUUCGGUCCCUAUCUGCCAUGGGCGUUGGAGAUUUGAGAGGGGCUGCUCCUAGUACGAGAGGACCGGAGUGGACGAACCUCUGGUGUUCCGGUUGUCACGCCAGUGGCAUUGCCGGGUAGCUAUGUUCGGAAGCGAUAACCGCUGAAAGCAUCUAAGCGGGAAGCGCGCCUCAAGAUGAGAUCUCCCGGGGCACAAGCCCCUGAAGGAACCAUGUAGACUACGUGGUUGAUAGGUCAGGUGUGUAAGUACAGCAAUGUAUUGAGCUAACUGAUACUAAUGAUCCGUGCGGCUUGACCAU